GAUGAACGCUGGCGGCGUGCCUAAUACAUGCAAGUCGAGCGAAUGGAUUAAGAGCUUGCUCUUAUGAAGUUAGCGGCGGACGGGUGAGUAACACGUGGGUAACCUGCCCAUAAGACUGGGAUAACUCCGAGAAACCGAGGCCAAUACCGGAUAACAUUUUGAACCGCAUGGUUCGACAUUGAAAGGCGGCUGCGGCGGGCGCUUAUGGAUGGACCCGCGUCGCAUUAGCUAGUUGGUGAGGUAACGGCUCACCCAGGCAACGAUGCGUAGCCGACCUGAGAGGGUGAUCGGCCACACUGGGACGGAGACACGGCCCAGACUCCUACGGGAGGCAGCAGUAGGGAAUCUUCCGCAAUGGACGAAAGUCUGACGGAGCAACGCCGCGUGAGUGAUGAAGGCUUUCGGGUCGUAAAACUCUGUUGUUAGGGAAGAACAAGUGCUAGUUGAAUAAGCUGGCACCUUGACGGUACCUAACCAGAAAGCCACGGCUAACUACGUGCCAGCCGCCGCCGUAA
rnacentral:rRNA from 1 species